CCCGUCACAUCACGAAAGUGAAUUGUACUAGAAGUCUGCAGGCUAACCCGCAAGGGAGGCAGCGGCCCAAGGUAUGAUCCAUGAUUGGGUG
rnacentral:rRNA from 1 species